UACGAAGGGGGCUAGCGUUGUUCGGAAUUACUGGGCGUAAAGCGCGUGUAGGCGGGCCGUUAAGUUGGGGGUGAAAGCCCAGAGCUCAACUCUGGAAUUGCCUUCGGUACUGGCGGCCUGGAGCAUGAUAGAGGCGAGUGGAAAUGCGAGUGUAGAGGUGAAAUUCGUAGAUAUUCGCAGGAACACCAGUGGCGAAGGCGACGCGCUGGAUCAUUGCUGGCGCUGAGUCGCGAAAGCGUGGGGAGCAAACAGG
rnacentral:rRNA from 1 species